rnacentral:rRNA from 1 species
CUACGGGCCGCUGCAGUCGAGAAUCUUCGGCAAUGGACGCAAGUCUGACCGAGCGAUGCCGCGUGCGGGAUGAAGGCCUUCGGGUUGUAAACCGCUGUCAGUUGGGAGGAAGGCUCCGUGAAGAGCGGAGUUUGACCUAUCUUCAGAGGAAGUCCGGGCUAAGUUCGUGCCAGCAGCCGCGGUAACACGAACCGGACGAACGUUAUUCGGAAUUAUUGGGCUUAAAGGGUGCGUAGGCGGUGCGGUAAGUGAGGUGUGAAAGCCCACGGCUCAACCGUGGAAUUGCGCUUCAUACUGCCGUGCUAGAGGGAGACAGAGGUAAGCGGAACUGAUGGUGGAGCGGUGAAAUGCGUUGAUAUCAUCAGGAACACCGGUGGCGAAAGCGGCUUACUGGGUCUCUUCUGACGCUGAGGCACGAAAGCUAGGGUAGCGAACGGGAUUAGAUACCCGUGUAGUC